UUGAUCCUGGCUCAGGACCAACUGCUGGCGGCGUGCCUAAUACAUGCAAGUCGAGCGGAUUUAUCCUUCGGGAUAAGUUAGCGGCGGACGGGUGAGUAACACGUAGGCAACCUGCCUAUAAGACUGGGAUAACUAUCGGAAACGAUAGCUAAGACCGGAUAACUGAUUUUCUCGCAUGAGAAAAUUAUGAAACACGGAGCAAUCUGUGGCUUAUAGAUGGGCCUGCGGCGCAUUAGCUAGUUGGUAGGGUAACGGCCUACCAAGGCGACGAUGCGUAGCCGACCUGAGAGGGUGAACGGCCACACUGGGACUGAGACACGGCCCAGACUCCUACGGGAGGCAGCAGUAGGGAAUCUUCCGCAAUGGACGCAAGUCUGACGGAGCAACGCCGCGUGAGUGAUGAAGGUUUUCGGAUCGUAAAGCUCUGUUGCCCUAGACGAACAGCAAGAGGAGUAACUGCCUUUUGUGUGACGGUAUAGGAGAAGAAAGCCCCGGCUAACUACGUGCCAGCAGCCGCGGUAAUACGUAGGGGGCAAGCGUUGUCCGGAAUUAUUGGGCGUAAAGCGCGCGCAGGCGGUCAAUUAAGUUGGGUGUUUAAGCCCGGGGCUCAACCCCGGCUCGCAUCCAAACCUGGUCGACUCGAGUGUAGGAGAGGAAAGUGGAAUUCCCCGUGUAGCGGUGAAAUUGCUUUUAGAUGUGAGAGGAACACCAGUGCGCAAAGCCACUUUUCUGGCCUAUAACUGACCUUUGAGGCGCGAAAAGCUUGGGGUACAAACAGGAUUUAGU
rnacentral:rRNA from 1 species